GGUGAACGGUGUGCACAGUGUCAGUCUGUGUUAUGUGUUGUUGCUGGACUGUGUUUUUCAGUCUUAGCAGCAGUGCUCACUCCACACCUACAGCCAUAGAACAACAGGAGAUCAUAGUACUGGCUCUUGACGUCUUACUGACACCUCACCAUUAGUCAGCCUCCAAACUCUCCAACAAUA
ensembl:snoRNA small nucleolar RNA SNORA23